UGGGGGAUAACGUAGCGAAAGUUACGCUAAUACCGCAUAUUCUGUGAGCAGGAAAGCAGGGGAUCGCAAGACCUUGCGCUGAUUGAGCGGCCGAUAUCAGAUUAGCUAGUUGGUGAGGUAAAGGCUCACCAAGGCGACGAUCUGUAGCGGGUCUGAGAGGAUGAUCCGCCACACUGGAACUGAGACACGGUCCAGACUCCUACGGGAGGCAGCAGUGGGGAAUUUUGGACAAUGGGCGCAAGCCUGAUCCAGCCAUGCCGCGUGAGUGAAGAAGGCCUUCGGGUUGUAAAGCUCUUUCGGCCGGGAAGAAAUCGCACAGGUUAAUACCCUGUGUGGAUGACGGUACCGGAAUAAGAAGCACCGGCUAACUACGUG
rnacentral:rRNA from 1 species